rnacentral:lncRNA from 1 species
CUCGGGGGCAGCGGGACUAUGCAUUUCUUUCAUUUUGUGUGGGUGGCAGGGGUGAAAGUGGAGGACAAAAGGAACCCUGUCCCAUUUCCUGCUUGUGUUUUUCACUUGUGAAUAAGCACUGCCUGGGAUCACUUGAAAGAUUUCUUCAUCUGUGGUCCCUUGUGUGUCGCAAGGGACACAUUCCCUCUCCAGAACGAGAACAGAGAGAUGACUAAACAAGAGAAAUUCCGUGACUCCAUCUUAAGAGCUUUCUCAGACACCUCUUUCUCCUGCCAGAGCCUCUCUUGCCAGCUAUAUGCAGUUUAGUGUCUUGGGGCUCGGGGUGGAAGGACACAGAAAUCGAUCCAUUCGGGUCCAUUUGGGGCUAGCUAAGUAGCAAUCCCGAUGUUGCUGUAGUUCCUUGUAACAACUACCUACUUGACAUCUUUCAUGAAACAAGGGGCAAUGCAGUGAUCCUGAACAACUUGGAGGAAUUUACAAGAAAAACCACUAUCCAAAUUCAGAGGAAAAACUGUGGGAGUAGAAACACAGAAGAAAAACAACUGCUUGAAUACAUGGGUCGAGGGGAUAUGGCUGGAAGAAUCCCAAGUAUUCCUCUGAGGGAGUCAUCCCAUGUGACAAAUAGUAUUUUUUUAGAGAAGAAAAAAAAUCAGCACAACUAAUCAA